GAUGAACGCUGGCGGCGUGCUUAACACAUGCAAGUCGAACGAAGCACCUUAUUCUGAUUUCUUCGGAAUGAAAAAUUUGGUGACUGAGUGGCGGACGGGUGAGUAACGCGUGGGUAACCUGCCUCAUACAGGGGGAUAACAGUUAGAAAUGACUGCUAAUACCGCAUAAGACCACAGCACCGCAUGGUGCAGGGGCAAAAACUCCGGUGGUAUGAGAUGGACCCGCGUCUGAUUAGGCAGUUGGUGGGGUAACGGCCUACCAAGCCGACGAUCAGUAGCCGACCUGAGAGGGUGACCGGCCACAUUGGGACUGAGACACGGCCCAAACUCCUACGGGAGGCAGCAGUGGGGAAUAUUGCACAAUGGGGGAAACCCUGAUGCAGCGACGCCGCGUGAGCGAUGAAGUAUUUCGGUAUGUAAAGCUCUAUCAGCAGGGAAGAAAAUGACGGUAC
rnacentral:rRNA from 1 species